rnacentral:rRNA from 1 species
GACGAACCGUGCGAACGUUGUUCGGAAUCAUUGGGCUUAAAGGGCGCGUAGGCGGGCCCGCAAGUCAGGGGUGAAAUCCCACGGCUCAACCGUGGAAGUGCCUCUGAUACUGCGGGCCUCGAGGGGGGUAGGGGCGUGCGGAACUUCCGGUGGAGCGGUGAAAUGCGUAGAUAUCGGAAGGAACACCGGUGGCGAAGGCGGGUCUCUGGGCCGUUACUGACGCUGAGGAGCGAAAGCGUGGGGAGCGAACAGG